rnacentral:rRNA from 1 species
UACGAAGGGGGCUAGCGUUGUCCGGAAUUAUUGGGCGUAAAGAGCUCGUAGGCGGUUUGUUGCGUCGGCUGUGAAAUCCCGAGGCUCAACCUCGGGUCUGCAGUCGAUACGAGCAAACUAGAGUGUUGCAGGGGAGACUGGAAUUCCUGGUGUAGCGGUGAAAUGCGCAGAUAUCAGGAGGAACACCGGUGGCGAAGGCGGGUCUCUGGGCCGAUACUGACGCUGAGGAGCGAAAGCGUGGGGAGCGAACAGG